UACAGAGGGGGCAAGCGUUAUUCGGAAUUAUUGGGCGUAAAGGGCGCGUAGGCGGCAUGGCAAGUGGAUGGUGAAAUCCCUCGGCUUAACCGAGGAACUGCCCUCCAAACUGCUUAGCUUGAGACCGGGAGAGGUGAGUGGAAUUCCCAGUGUAGCGGUGAAAUGCGUAGAUAUUGGGAGGAACACCAGUGGCGAAGGCGGCUCACUGGACCGGUACUGACGCUGAGACGCGAAAGCGUGGGGAGCGAACAGG
rnacentral:rRNA from 1 species